GCUCAAACCGGCAACCUUCCGAUUACAAGCUGCAGCAUAAAGCUCAGACCAUUUCUGAGAAAUCACAGUGCUUCCUGACCUUCCCAAAGGAACAAUAGCUGGGUGGAGUGUGUUCCUGUCAGGGACUUCAUUCUGCUGUUAGACUGAAGGAUGGACGGUAGAUCAGGUAGUACAAUGGAGGUGGCAGCGCUCGGUCGGCCUUUCAGUGUCGGGAUGCUGUACGACUGUCGCAGUGACUCGCUAAUCCCUGGUAAGAAUUCACAUAAAAAUUCAAAAGAAUUCACAUGUAAAGAUUCUUGAUGUGUCACAAACUUUCAUUAUUUCAUUAUUUAAAGCCAAAAAUCUGAGAUGGUCCAAGGUCUGAAAACACAAGAGUCAACUAAAUUCAGACAGAUAUUCAAGCAGCUUAGUUCAGAGAGUUUGAACUCAUUACUCUGCUGCAGCAUCAAUCCUUCCUCAUGAAACUCCAAACACAGGAUCAGAUCCACUAAUCUGUCUUUACUGGACCUGGGCCCAACUGUCAUUGUUUAGACAGGAUGAACUUUACAUCUAAGCUUAGUUUUAGCCACAGACAGUAUAAGAGAAUCAAAUCUAGAAUUUUCACUCACCAACAAUGAAGCAACUUCUUGGACUGUUUGAACAUCACAAGCAAAUACAUCAGGG